rnacentral:rRNA from 1 species
GACGAACGCUGGCGGCGUGCUUAACACAUGCAAGUCGAACGAUGAACCGGUUUCGGCCGGGGAUUAGUGGCGAACGGGUGAGUAACACGUGGGCAAUCUGCCCUGCACUCUGGGAUAAGCCCGGGAAACUGGGUCUAAUACCGGAUACGACACUCCGAGGCAUCUUGGGGUGUGGAAAGUUCCGGCGGUGCAGGAUGAGCCCGCGGCCUAUCAGCUUGUUGGUGGGGUAAUGGCCUACCAAGGCGACGACGGGUAGCCGGCCUGAGAGGGUGACCGGCCACACUGGGACUGAGACACGGCCCAGACUCCUACGGGAGGCAGCAGUGGGGAAUAUUGCACAAUGGGCGAAAGCCUGAUGCAGAGACGCCGCGUGAGGAUGACGGCCUUCGGGUUGUAAACCUCUUUCAGCAGGGAAGAAGCGAAAGUGACGGUACCUGCAGAAGAAGCACCGGCUAACUACGUG